GAUGAAGAACGUAGCGAAAUGCGAUAAGUAGUGUGAAUUGCAGAAUUCAGUGAAUCAUCGAAUCUUUGAACGCACAUUGCGCCCUUUGGUAUUCCUUAGGGCAUGCCUGUUCGAGCGUCAUUUAAACCUUCAAGCUCAGCUUGGUGUUGGGUGACUGUCCGCUUCACCGCGGACUCGCCUCAAAAUUAUUGGCGGCCGGUACAUUGGCUUCGAGCGCAGCAGAAACGCGAACUCGGGCCCGUCGUAUUGGCUCCCAGAAGCUAUCUUCACAAUUUUGACCUCGGAUCAGGUAGGGAUACCCGCUGAACUUAAGCAUAUCAAUGAGCGGAGGA
rnacentral:misc_RNA from 1 species